GCAAAGGCUCCUACCCACUGAGCCACCUCUUGAGCCCAACAUUUGGUUUUCUUGAAAGAAUGAAGACAUAAUAGUAGCGGUACUGAUGGGAAAGGAUCGCAGAAGAAUGUUGGCUUGGGGUGAAUACAUUCUAAAGUCACAAUGGAAACUCAAAUGGAGGGGACAAAAUACAGGUCUGGAGAAUAAGGUAGAAGAGGAAUAAUUAGUUACGAUCAUAGCACUUGGGAAUCUGAGGCAAGGGGAUCUAAAGUUUGAGACCAUAACAAGACCUAUACAGCCAAGACCAUGUCAAAAAAAAUAACUAGAUUAUGAAUGUUAAUUGAGUCAAGGUGGUUAUAUACAAAGGGAAGACGAAAGCUGGUGAAGGAUAAGGGUCUGGGAGCAAUGAGAUGUCUGGGCGGCCAAUGGAGGAAGCAGCCAGGUAGGAAAGCUGAGCAGACAGCAGAGGCAUCGAGACCCAGCGGGAGAAUUAGAGGGGUUAUCAUACAACAAAGGAUGGAGAGACACCCCAAAGGAGCAGUGUUUGGUGAUAUCAAAUACUUCAUAGAAGGCAAGGGAAACAAUGGGAAGUAUUCACUGGCCGUGGCAAUCAGAGGGUUGCUGAAGAUCUUUAAAAGGACAUCAAAGCACACAGGCAACAAAAGCAGAAAUGAAGAGGUAGAACUGCAGCAAAGCGAAACACUUCCCCACAGGUGAAGGGACCGACCAGCCAAUACAAUGAAAGGGCGACCCAUGGAACUGCAGAAAAUAUUUGCAAAUCAUAUAUCCGACGAGGAGGAUAACAUUCCAAAAUAAAUACAAGGCACUUAGGCAACUCAAUAGCAAAAAUCAGAUAAUCCAAUCUAAAACUGGACAAAGGACUUGAAUAAAGAUAUGCGUUUUCCCAGAGGAGACAGAUGAAUACACCCGCAAGAACCAGAAAAGGUGUUCAGUAUCACUAAUCCCCAGAGAAAUGCAAAUCAAAGCCACAGUGAGACAUUAUACCUCUCUGAAUGGUUAUUAAAAAGACAAAAGAGCCAGAAUGGUGGGCUCAAUGGUACAGUGUUUGCUGUAAAAGCCCGGAGAUCCAAGUCAAUGGGAGAGAAGUGACUCAGUUCCGUGUAGUUGUCCUGUGAUUUGCACACAUAGGUUAUGGCAAUCGUGCACCCUUCCAUACCCAAUCAUAAAUGAAUAAAUGAAUGAAUACUAAAUAAAUCUAAUUUUUAAAGACACAAGAGAUGAUUGAGGAUGUAGAGAAAAGAGAAUCUCCACACGCUGCUGGUGAGAAUGUAAAUUGGUACAGACUUUAUAAAAAACAAAACAAAACAAAACAGUAUGGAGGUAUUCAGGAUAGGGUCCAAAAUUAAAGAUAGGGUUACCAUGUGACCCAGGGAUCACAUUUCCCAUUUUAUUUUGUUCCUCUAAAAUGAAAUGAAUACAUCAAAGAAAUGCCUGUACCCCCAAGUACAUUGCAGCUGUGUUCACAGGAGUGAAGACACGGGAACAGCCUUCAGUGCCCAUUGUUAGAUGGACAGAUAAGGAAGCCAUGUUGUAUACACAGUAGACUAUCAACCGGUCAUCCAAAGGAAAUCUGUCACUUUUGACAAUGUGGCUGAAUCUUGUGGGUGUGCUGACAGAAAAAGACCAAUAUUGGAUGAUCUCAUUUAUGUGUAGAAUAUAAAAACACUGAAGAUGGAGAGACAAAUAAGAUGGUGGCUUCUGGGACCUGGGAGAGGGUGGUGAGAAACACAAGCAGAUCUUCGUCAUGGGGUUCAAACUUUACAUUUCCAGCUUGGUAAAUUCUGGAGCGCUCGUGAAUAUCACCGUGACCAGAACUAAACUGCAUCACAGCAUUGCAAUCUCUUGAUCCUCGAAUGUUCCCGCCAUUCAUGUAGAACAGAACUAGAUGAAGUGACAGAUACAUGAACUGUGUCUUGACGGUAGCGACCAUUUCACACGAUGAAGACAUCAAAUCAUCACACUAAACAUUCUAAAUGUAUCCAGUUGUGUUUCUAUCAUACCACACUAAAACUGGACAGUUCCCCCUUCCCCCAAUUAAAAAGCAAAGAGAUGGAUGUUAAUUUGCUUAAGUUUUGCGAUCAUUUUGCUCUGCGCAAGUGUAUUCAGCAUCCUACUGCCCUACAGGCUCCAAGAAAGGAACUCCUUGAAAUACAAGUAAAGGACAGCAAAGGAUAUGGAGCUCAGACUGGACCACGGUGGGUUCAAAUGUCAAUCUAAGGUAAGGAGUAAACAGGCAAAGAUGGAUUUGGUGAUGAAGAAAAUCAGUGGUAAUACCUGAUGUUUGUUAGGUGCUUGUGUUGUUAAGCAUUGUGCCCAACCUGUGACAUCUCACCUGAUUUUAUAGGCUACAACCGGUUAUUAUCUUUUUAUACAGUAGAAACAUACUUUGGAAGCUCAAAGAGGCAAAGAUCACAUAAUGAACAGUUGUAAAAUGAGAUUCAAACCUAGUACGGACUGACAUAAGCCUGAGACAUGACACUGGUCACUACAGAGGAGAAGAUGCAGGCAGAGGGCACCCUUGUUUAUAUGUUUUAAAAAGUUUUAUAUAUGUAUGAAGGCUUCUUCAGAAACCAUGGGGGGUUGUUUUGUUUUGAGAUGAAAAUCGUGUCAUACAUAGACAAAAUCACAAGACACUGUUUUUCUUGUAUUACUAUCCUGAUAUCUUAUCCGCAAGCAAUGAGAGUAAAUGACUUCAGUUCUUUGCAAAGGGACCUUUGCACUCAAGCAGUUAUCUGGUCAGUGAUUGGUAUCAGAGAAUUCACCAUCAGCUUUCUGGACCUUUCGGGAAGAGCAGCAGGUGAAAUGACGGAGAGUCCUAGAUCCAGCCUUUGUCUGGAGCUGAAGGGAACUCAGAAACGUACAGUGUGUGGCUUCAGUGCUCAGGCAGGGUCCAAGUGUCGCGGGAGUGGCCCUGUGGCACUGUUUUACAUUGAGAUUUUUAUGUUUUUUUUUUUUAAUUCAGAUUCUACACAGAAAGUUCCGAACUCUCGAUUUGAUUAUGAAAGUGUACUUGCUGAGUUGCACCCACUGUGUGCUAGCUGUGUGCCAAAUGCUCCGAGGGUACAAUGACAGUCAAAAACCUAAGUACCACUUGUCACCCAGAUUAUAUCUCCUUAAUUUCUCCAGUUAAGUGUACUAUUUCAUAAGCCUCUUAAACAGAAACCCAGCUUCUCUUCCUCCUGCAUUACUUAAGAAAUAAAAACACUUUUUUGAAUCCACUUCUAAACGCCAUUUCUGGAGACCAGGGAGGUAACUGAGCCAGACAUUUCUUCUCUCUGUUUUGCCCUUUUUGUCCCUGCUCUGAGCCUUCAAGGUCUUCUGGGCUUGGGUUUCGUUGAUUAGUUGACUGGUCUCACCUGGGUUUUAGAAGCUGGUCAAAGCCCUUUGGAUGGAAGAAAUGUUUUGAUUUCUUAAUUCUGAGAAGAUGGUACUUAGAUCCUAUUCUGGCUACAGGGACCACCGAGCUGUACACGGAAGGGAACGUCCUCAGAGUCCUUCAUCUACACUUAGCAUGCUCCAUUAUAUCCCAGUGACAUCAACUUUAGUCAGAAAGCUUUGCGUGCCCCACACUGUGCUGAUGCUUCUUCCAUGACACUGAGGGUUUCUAAAAGGCCUUGUUCCCGAUUCAUUUUAGGGGAUACUACCAUGACCCCCAAACAUGCCAGAACCUGUUUUCUCUUUCUUCUGAGCUGCCUCUUUUAACCAGUAAAAUGUCAUCAUCAGGAGUCUGUCCUUCACAAUACAGCCAUCAUAACCGACUACAACAUGAAUAAACAGUUCACCACCAACUUAUACCCUCCACCCCUAAUCUCAGCUUUUUAUCUAAGGGGAAUGGGAAAGGAGAUAGAUCUAAGAUUAAAUCCAUCCCAUUAGUCCCUUAUUUUAAGGCAGUGGGUUUCUUGUAGUUACAUAGUUCAUUUAAGUGACUUGCAAAAUAGAGAUGUUCUGUUCCAGUGUGAUUUUCUUAAGUCUUCUUUUAGAAAAAUAUAUUUUUCUGGUUGUCUAGGCACUUCCUUUUAGAAAUAAUGAUAACCAUCAUUUGUUUGGUAGAGAUGGUAACAAUACUUUACAUUCAUUAUCUCAUCUCUCUUACCGAAAAAUUGUGAGUCUAAUAGAGGAUGUAACAUGCACAGAAAUUAUAGUCCAAGAUAGAAGGUGUAAAAGGCUACAGAAUGGGGUAAGGGCAAUGCAUCAAGGGAACUCUUAGACAGGAGGGAUCGCUUCUAACCAGAGAGGCUCAUUCAAUCAACAUCCAGCAUUAAAAAGUGUGUGCAUUUUCCAUUCUGGCCUCAAGAAUCUCAGAGACCACGAAGGAACAGACAAAGACACGAAGAUGACCCCGCCACAGUGUGAUGUCAUCUGAAGAUGGCAAUCAAGCCCAUUUGCAUAGACUUCUUGGAAGAGACUGAAGAGUAUACCACCAGGACCAUUAGCUCCUGGAAAGGAAGGAGAUGCGUCCUAAGAGAGCCGAAAGAGAAAAGCCUUACAGAAGAAACACAUCAGCCUUCUAGUCUCAGCCCUGCUGUGCACCAGCUGAAAGGCUUUGAAUAAAUGCUUAGCCUAUAGAGCUUUUAUUUUUCCCAUUUGUAGAACACCCUUUGGUACAUUGGUACAAGAAGAGUGGGGGGGCAUUUAAUAGGAAGUGGAAAGAACAUGGCACUAACCUUUCCCAAAAUUCCAAUUUAAUACAUGCAUUCCAGUUUUAAGAUAGCACACUGUGUACAUAAUGGUCUUUUCCUCACCAAAAUUAUAGUCCUCGAAGAAGCAGAUUAAUAGAUGUUCAAAAAAGAGAGCCAGUCCCUUUGGAUCAGAAGCUGGCAGGAAAUAAGAAACCAAGGCAGGAAGCUUUGGUUCUUCCCAUCACAGAGAUGUGGACAUGUGCAUGUCUAACUGGAGUCUUCUAGUUCUCUCUCGUCUUGUCAGAAAUGGAAAAUGAUGGG